UACAGAGGUCCCGAGCGUUGUUCGGAUUCAUUGGGCGUAAAGGGUGCGUAGGCGGUUUUUUAAGUUUGAUGUGAAAUCCCGGGGCUCAACCCUGGAAUUGCAUUGAAUACUGAAGAACUAGAGAUCUGGAGAGGAAACUGGAAUUUACGGUGUAGCAGUGAAAUGCGUAGAGAUCGUAAGGAAGACCAGUGGCGAAGACGACUUUCUGGACAGAUACUGACGCUGAGACACGAAAGCCAGGGGAGCAAACAGG
rnacentral:rRNA from 1 species